AUGUGGCUUCCAAAGCAUGUGGUCUUUUCAGCAAGGGGGUCAGACUCCUUACACGGCAGCUGGCAUCCAGGAGGGAGGAACUGGAACUUUGGUACUGAGCGUGGAAGUUCUAGAAUGCUACUUCUGCUUCAUUCUCUUGGUUACAGCAGUCACAGGAGCAACCGGGUUCAAGGGGAGGGGAAAUACACCCUACAUUUUGCGGGGCAGCGUGCACGUACAGGGAUAAAGCGGCCUGGUCGCAGCCAUUUUGAUAUGCUGAAUUUCUGCAAAGACACGAAUUCUUUUUCACGGUAAAAACAGAGUUAAUUUUCACAAAAAGACUUAUGUUGGUAUGCCGUAUGAAAUGUCAGUCGGUCCACUGCUGCAGGCAUGUGGCAGGUUGUAUUCUCUGGGUCUGUGUAGAAAACCGCUUAAGAAUUUCGCAGUUUGUGAGUUUGAGCCCCGCGUCAGGUUCUGUGCUGACAGCUCAGAGCCUGGAGCCUGCUUCAGAUUUGUGUCUCCCCCUUUCUCUGUCCCUCCCCUGCUCAUGCUCUCUCUCUCUCUCUCUCAAAAAUAAAUAAGCAUAAAAAAACA
rnacentral:lncRNA from 1 species